rnacentral:rRNA from 1 species
CCCGAAAGCUAUUUAGGUAGCGCCUCGUGAAUUCAUCUCCGGGGGUAGAGCACUGUUUCGGCAAGGGGGUCAUCCCGACUUACCAACCCGAUGCAAACUGCGAAUACCGGAGAAUGUUAUCACGGGAGACACACGGCGGGUGCUAACGUCCGUCGUGAAGAGGGAAACAACCCAGACCGCCAGCUAAGGUCCCAAAGUCAUGGUUAAGUGGGAAACGAUGUGGGAAGGCCCAGACAGCCAGGAUGUUGGCUUAGAAGCAGCCAUCAUUUAAAGAAAGCGUAAUAGCUCACUGGUCGAGUCGGCCUGCGCGGAAGAUGUAACGGGGCUAAACCAUGCACCGAAGCUGCGGCAGCGACGCUUAUGCGUUGUUGGGUAGGGGAGCGUUCUGUAAGCCUGUGAAGGUGUGCUGUGAGGCAUGCUGGAGGUAUCAGAAGUGCGAAUGCUGACAUAAGUAACGAUAAAGCGGGUGAAAAGCCCGCUCGCCGGAAGACCAAGGGUUCCUGUCCAACGUUAAUCGGGGCAGGGUGAGUCGACCCCUAAGGCGAGGCCGAAAGGCGUAGUCGAUGGGAAACAGGUUAAUAUUCCUGUACUUGGUGUUACUGCGAAGGGGGGACGGAGAAGGCUAUGUUGGCCGGGCGACGGUUGUCCCGGUUUAAGCGUGUAGGCUGGUUUUCCAGGCAAAUCCGGAAAAUCAAGGCUGAGGCGUGAUGACGAGGCACUACGGUGCUGAAGCAACAAAUGCCCUGCUUCCAGGAAAAGCCUCUAAGCAUCAGGUAACAUCAAAUCGUACCCCAAACCGACACAGGUGGUCAGGUAGAGAAUACCAAGGCGCUUGAGAGAACUCGGGUGAAGGAACUAGGCAAAAUGGUGCCGUAACUUCGGGAGAAGG